rnacentral:lncRNA from 1 species
UUUAAACCAAGCUGGUCAUUCAAGCCUAACUACUCUCCGAAGGUGAUUGACCAAUCGCUGCAUUAAAUGAAGAACAUUCUGCAUUAAACACGUUUUUGUCUAUCAAUAUCCAAUAUUUAUGAUUCUUUUGGCAUAGUCUGUUCCAGACAUCUUUUAGGAGAGGAGGAGGAGGAGGAGGAGAAGGAGGAGGAUGGAGCAGUUUUUAUUCAUUUCACUUCUUGGCUGUACUAAUUUCCUCACUGGGAAAACGAAUGAUGUAAAAAAUGCGGCAUCCUCAGUUUUUGGCGAAAUACGAUCAAGCAAUGAAACAUUUGUGGACAAAACAUUAUGGCUGAAAGAAUUUCACGAGCUACCUUCCAAACACGUCUAUUUCAUAGCACCCUUGCGGUUCGGCAAAACAACUAACCUAAAAAUGAUGGAGGAAUUUUUCAGCAUCACUACAAACGAAAAGCAGACCCACAAACUUUUUGAGGACACCCUUAUCUACUCCAAAGAAAAGAGUUUUUUUGACAAUUACUUUAGAAAAUAUCCAGUAAUAUACUUCAAUUUCGAACUUCUUUUAUCCACAACGAGUAAGCUGACCUUCAGGAAAAACAUAUGCAAAAUAUUCACUGAUGUAAGAAACAACACUGACCCAAAUUUAUUCAAUCUAACCACUGAAGAAAAAAUGGUCAACUUAAAGGAAUUUAAUGAAGAGUGUGCGGACAAAUUUGAAUUCGGAAAGGCUACGAUUGACUACAUGAAGGCUUUGCACUCACACUAUGGUCAGAAAAUAAUCGUUUUGAUCGAUGAAAUGGACGCGUUGACGCGCGCUACUUUAAAAAGGGACAUCGUGGAGCAAGACGCGGUGGUAAUGGAAUUUGGGCACAUACUAAAAGAGUGGUUGGAGGGAAAUGAGUACAUUGAAAAGAGUUUUAGCGUCGGAUCCGUGUUUGCAAACGACCUACUUCAUGUCAACCCCUAUCCAGAUUGCAUCGAAAAAGUAGUUUACAACCUUACGGAACAGUACGCAAAAUACUUCGGCCUUACCGAAACAGAGGUAGAGCUUCUACUCGAGAAAUCCUCUCUGACAAGCGAUUUACACAGAUUCAAGUCGUACUACGAUGGAUAUGCUGUCGCGAAUUCUAGUAUACGUGUUUACAACACAAUUUCUCCUACCAAAUUUGUGAAGAAUCGGAAAUUCGCACCUUACUGGGCCGAAUCUGUUGAGCCAUUGAAAAACGAUUUUUUGGGUUUCUUCUCACGACCGUUAAUCGGAUCUCUGAUCGAGAAGGCUAUUUCUGAGGACAUGAACGAUCUGCCAAAAUUCGCCCGCCUCAAACAUUCGGUCGCGAAAGAUACGUUCCACGAUGUUCGUGGCGAUGCCAUCGUCGAUGCGAAGAAUACGGCUGCAGCUGGAGACAUUUUCUUCAACUUCCUUUAUGAGUCCGGUUAUGUCAGGUUUGUCACCAAGGACGGGUUCCUAGCGACCAAUCAGGACGCUGCUUACGCCCUGGGGACAACUUUGGCGCGAGAUUCGAACUACUACCAAUACGCGCGCAGUAUCCCAUCCGCUGCGAAGACUAAACUCAUCAAGGCUGUGAAAAAUUUAGCGCUAUCUGACGAGACGAUGAUAGAACUGGUAGCGGCCAUUCACGGAAUUUUUAAUCCGGCUUGUUCGUUGGUGACCAUGGAGCGAGUGUCUUACGUUGGCCCGAUUUUCGCAAUUUUAGCCUACGAAGACCCGGAGGCAUUCGAAGAAGUGCUGUCACCCUUGCGUGUUGGACUUCAGCCGAAGAAACCAGACGUGGUGCUCCUCCGCAAAGAUUCUGUCGCUUUUGUAUUCACAUUGAGGCGGGGGGGAAGUGCCCGCAAAGCUUCAGAAGCUGCUCUGGCCUCGGAAUACGUGAGCAUCUUUCAGCAGGACCUUAAGGAUGCCAAGAUUGAGUCGAAAAUUUUUGUAGGAAUUAAUCUAGAUUUUCAUUGUCAUGUAUCCAUUGGAUUUGGGAAAGAAGGCAUGCAAGAGAAAGAAAUUAAGGAGGUAGGCAUAGGCGGUCCAAUCAGAUGA